rfam:Morus notabilis contig5288, whole genome shotgun sequence.
UAGCCGGUUUUUUUAGAAACCACCAAUCAAAUAAAAAUAUUUUUUAU